rnacentral:rRNA from 1 species
GUGCCAGCCGCCGCGGUAAUACGGAGGAUGCAAGCGUUAUCCGGAUUUAUUGGGUUUAAAGGGUGCGUAGGCUGUGCGCCAAGUCAGUGGUGAAAGCCCGGCGCUUAACGCUGGAACUGCCAUUGAUACUGGCGUGCUGGAAUACGGAUGCCGUGGGAGGAAUGAGUAGUGUAGCGGUGAAAUGCAUAGAUAUUACUCAGAACACCGAUUGCGAAGGCAUCUCACGAAUCCGUCAUUGACGCUGAGGCACGAAAGCGUGGGGAUCAAACAGGAUUAGAUACCCUGGGUAGUCCACGCAGUAAACGAUGAUAACUAACCGUCGGCGAUAGACAGUCGGUGGCCAAGCGAAAGCGAUAAGUUAUCCACCUGGGGAGUACGUUCGCAAGAAUGAAACUCAAAGGAAUUGACGGGGGCCCGCACAAGCGGAGGAACAUGUGGUUUAAUUCGAUGAUACGCGAGGAACCUUACCCGGGCUCGAACGGCAAGUGAACGAUACAGAGAUGUUGAGGCCCUUCGGGGCACUUGUCGAGGUGCUGCAUGGUUGUCGUCAGCUCGUGUCGUGAGAUGUUGGCUUAAGUGCCAUAACGAGCGCAACCCUUGUCACUAGUUACCAGCAUGUAAAGAUGGGGACUCUAGUGAGACUGCCACCGCAAGGUGAGAGGAAGGCGGGGAUGACGUCAAAUCAGCACGGCCCUUACGUCCGGGGCGACACACGUGUUACAAUGGUGACUACAGAGGGAUGCCACCCAGCGAUGGGGAGCGGAUCUCGAAAAGUCAUCUCAGUUCGGAUUGGAGUCUGCAACUCGACUCCAUGAAGCUGGAUUCGCUAGUAAUCGCGCAUCAGCCAUGGCGCGGUGAAUACGUUCCCGGGCCUUGUACACACCGCCCGU